rnacentral:misc_RNA from 1 species
AAGACUAUAGACCUGCGGAGUACCUGCGGAGGGAUCAUUAAUAAAUGCGUGUCAUUGUACUUGUACUCUGACCGUAUACCUAGGUCUGGCAAGGAACGGAUUUAUCUGGUCCGAGCUAGUUUUCUCUCUCGGGAGGAAUUCAGUUCUCAAGAUGACUGAGCCGUCAAUAUCUUGAACUUUUAUUAACACCUAUGCAUGAUUUGUCUGAAUAGAAAUGAAAAUUUCAAAAUACAACUUUCA